rnacentral:lncRNA from 1 species
UAUUUUUUUUUACAAAUAUUUGCACUGUUAAACAAAAGACAUAGUAUUUUUCAAUUCACCUCAUACCAGUACUGUAGUGCAAUCUCUUUGUUGUAAAUGUGCAAUUUACAAAUGUAGAUUUUUUUUGUUACAUGACUGCGCUCAAAAGCAAAACAAUGUAAAACUUUAGAGCCUAGAUGUCCACUCAGUCCUACUUCUUGUUCAGCCAAUCGCUAAGACAUUAAUUAAAUUAAUUAAUUAAUAAGGUCACAAGGGAGCUGCCCCUCAUCAGCUGCUCAAGACUGUGGAUUUGGGCACAGGUCAAUUCACUAAACAGCUGCUGUGAUUCCCCCGCCACAUUUCUCCUUCCAGGGGCGAGAUCAGUUUAUUAAACAGCCUGACCUAAAAAAAUCAAAGUGGAGCCGGGAGGCGGCCGGGCAUCGUGUCCAUCACUCGGUAGCUGAGGCGCGUCCGCCAGCAGGGGUCGCCUCACGCCCUGGAAAUCCGCUCCAGCGCUGCAGGCACCUGGGGCUGGGUUUGUUCGCGGCUCUAUUGCUAUCGCAACGGGAGCUUCGUGUCGCAGGAGAGGGACGCGCAGGUCCCGCCAGCCAGAGCGCGCAGCUCCCUUGCCUGCAGCCGGGGCUUCCCCUGCGUCCUUGUCUGGUGCUGGCCGAGCAGGCCUGGCAGAGGGCGCUGCCCCUCCCUGGGAGCCGCUGGAGGAGGAUGCGCUCAGAGCCGCGCCAUGGGGAGCUCGGUGAGGAAGGGCAAAGCGGUGCUGCCGGCAGAACAGGCUGCCCGCCCGAGCAGGGAGCAGCCCCACCGAGCAGCAACAGAAGAUUAUCACCAUGAAGCUCAGACUGCAAACAAUGGACAAGCCAUUACAGCUUCCUGCAAAAAUAAAGAUACAGACCUGCAGUUUAAAAUACAGGCCUACAUAGAUAAAAACACUGUUAUGAUCUUCAGUAACACAGCGUGCAGUCUGUCUGCUAAGGUAAAAUGUUAAUUUUCACGCAGAGAUAUACAGGAUUUGUCAUAUCUUACAAGUUCACUGUUCUUCAUUUCACUAAUGUAACUGAGUUGCAAGAUCCCAUUGACUUCAGCAUGGCUCCACAUGGGCACAGGAGUCUGUCCAUGUGAAGUCAUUUUCAAUGAAACAGGUCUUAGUUGCUGUCUCCUCUACUUUUCCUAGUCCAACCAUAGCCAGAACCAUCUUUCUAUUUUUUUCCCUGCAAAGUGUAUGUCUGGUCUCUAAUCCCAGCUACAGAUUGCUCCUGUGUCUGGCACCCAUCCCGCUGUCCCUGACAAAUAUCUGGUCCUGACCUUCCAGCUCAUAGGCCUCAGUUCAGCAAAGUACUUCAGCAUGCGCUUAAGUUUAAUU